AACUAUACAUUAAAGUUAACAAUACAUUGUAUACUCCAGUUACUAUAAUCUAAAUAUCAAUAAUAUAGGAAAUAUAAAUAACAUUGAGGCGCCUAUCCAAAUUCAAGCAAAUAAUGGAGACCGAAAUGAGCCACUUGACCUACCUCAAAACGAAAGUAUGCUUUAGAAUAUUUCUAUAAGUAAAAUGUAGGAGUGUCGUCCUUGGGUGGUUUCUC